GGUUUUCUAGUGUAAUGGUUAUCACUGCGGAUUCUGAUUCUAGAUCGUGAAGAUCUGGCUCUGCAUUCCGCCAAUCUGGGUUCGAUUCCCAGGAAAACCU